UACGUAGGGUGCGAGCGUUGUCCGGAAUUAUUGGGCGUAAAGGGCUCGUAGGCGGUUUGUCGCGUCGGGAGUGAAAACACCGGGCUUAACUCGGUGCUGGCUUUCGAUACGGGCAGACUAGAGGUAUUCAGGGGAGAACGGAAUUCCUGGUGUAGCGGUGAAAUGCGCAGAUAUCAGGAGGAACACCGGUGGCGAAGGCGGUUCUCUGGGAAUGUCCUGACGCUGAGGAGCGAAAGCGUGGGGAGCAAACAGG
rnacentral:rRNA from 1 species